rnacentral:rRNA from 1 species
UAGGGAAUCUUCCACAAUGGACGCAAGUCUGAUGGAGCAACGCCGCGUGAGUGAAGAAGGUUUUCGGAUCGUAAAGCUCUGGUGUUGGUGAAGAAGGAUAGAGGCAGUAACUGGUCUUUAUUUGACGGUAAUCAACCAGAAAGUCACGGCUAACUACGUGCCAGCAUCCGCGGUAAUACGUAGGUGGCAAGCGUUGUCCGGAUUUAUUGGGCGUAAAGCGAGCGCAGGCGGAAUGAUAAGUCUGAUGUGGAAGCCCACGGCUCAACCGUGGAACUGCAUCGGAAACUGUCAUUCUUGAGUGCAGAAGAGGAGAGUGGAAUUCCAUGUGUAGCGGUGGAAUGCGUAGAUAUAUGAAAGGACACCAGUGGCGAAGGCGGCUCUCUGGUCUGCAACUGACGCUGAGGCGCGAAAGCAUGGGUAGCGAACAGA